rnacentral:rRNA from 1 species
AUGGUUCAGUGAGGCGUUCGGACUGGCCCAGGGAGGUCGGCAACGACCACCCAGGGCCGGAAAGUUCUCCAAACUCGAUCAUUUAGAGGAAGUAAAAGUCGUAACAAGGUCUCCGUUGGUGAACCAGCGGAGGGAUCAUUG